GCAGCUAAAUGGCCUGAAUCUUGAAAGGAGCUUGUAUCACGAUACAACACACAUGUCGUCCCUCACCGUGGAACAGGGACCAGGUGGCGUGGAAGUGGUAACGGUGAUAAUGCUGACGAUUCCGAGAGCUUUCACUGUGCAGCUCAUUACGCAGAAAGAGCAGAAAUCCCACCGCGACCAGUUGAGGUCUUUAUCGUCGAGAUAUGUGUUGUGGUAAGCAAGAAUUACACAGCAGCGUUCAACUCAAGCGAAGAUCUCGUGAUGUACAUUGGUGCAAUGAUGAAUUGGAUACCCAAGGAUACAAAGAAAAGAGGUAGAGAGCAAGCUGGCAACUGCCACCAGGAGGGGCGC
rnacentral:lncRNA from 1 species